GCCGUUGCGUACUGGUUAGCGCUUCGGACUUGUACCCGGAAGGUUACCGGUUCGAACCCCGACCAGUCGGCA
rnacentral:tRNA from 1 species